rnacentral:rRNA from 1 species
AUCCUACGGGGCGCAGCAGUGAGGAAUAUUGGUCAAUGGGCGGGAGCCUGAACCAGCCAAGUCGCGUGAGGGAUGACGGCCCUAUGGGUUGUAAACCUCUUUUGCCGGGGAGCAAAGUGCCGCACGUGUGCGGUUUGGAGAGUACCCGGAGAAAAAGCAUCGGCUAACUCCGUGCCAGCAGCCGCGGUAAUACGGAGGUGGCGAGCGUUAUCCGGAAUGAUUGGGCGUAAAGGGUGCGUAGGCGGCCUGCUAAGUCUGGAGUGAAAGGUACCGGCUCAACCGGUACAGGCUCUGGAACCUGGCGG